AUGGAGAGUUUGAUCCUGGCUCAGGACGAACGCUGGCGGCGUGCUUAACACAUGCAAGUCGAACGGAAAGGCCCUGCUUUUGUGGGGUGCUCGAGUGGCGAACGGGUGAGUAACACGUGAGUAACCUGCCCUUGACUUUGGGAUAACUUCAGGAAACUGGGGCUAAUACCGGAUAGGAGCUCCUGCUGCAUGGUGGGGGUUGGAAAGUUUCGGCGGUUGGGGAUGGACUCGCGGCUUAUCAGCUUGUUGGUGGGGUAGUGGCUUACCAAGGCUUUGACGGGUAGCCGGCCUGAGAGGGUGACCGGCCACAUUGGGACUGAGAUACGGCCCAGACUCCUACGGGAGGCAGCAGUGGGGAAUCUUGGACAAUGGGGGCAACCCUGAUCCAGCCAUGCCGCGUGAGUGAUGAAGGC
rnacentral:rRNA from 1 species